AUUCUGGAAUGAUCAGCUUGGUUCUGUGAAUGGCUGUUUGCCAUGGCAACAGGCAUUGCAGAAAUUCUGAGCCUGUUCUAAUAGGAGCCUGCUCUAACAGACACCUGCUGCCCAGAGCUCUUUAUCACGGGAGCAGGCUGCUUCUAGGAUGCCUUCCUGGAUCUUGGACUGGAGAAAAGCCCCCAUGCUCUCUCCUCAGAGUCCACUUUUCCUCCAGAGUGCUUUCUUUUCUUCUGUCUUAGGCUGUAGACAUGAUGGCUGAAACUUCAAUGCUGAGCAAUUUGAAGAAGAGGCAACCUUGAAGAUGAAAGCCACUUACUUACUGAUGGUGGCAGUACAGAAAAAGCAGAUGCCUGGGCUCCUGAAUGCUGUUCACCCCUAUGCCAUCCCUGCACCCUCUUUAGCUGCAUGAGAGGGAAAAUACCUGAUUUGAUGUAUUUUCACCAUGGUUCUUAUUAGAUGGUGUGGUGAGGCUCUCUAUUCUGCACUGAAUACUCUCUACAAGUCAUACAAUGAGAAAUAUGGUCAUCUGAGUAUGAACAAAUAUCUCCAAAGCUUUGGUUUCUUGACUAGAAUGGGAAACAACCACUUCUAAGGGGAAACUCCUGUGAAGGGGGAAAGCAAAAAUCCAGCCAUGGUGACCUCUGAGUGCAUUUUAGACAUACUAGCUCUGUUCCCCAUUUUCCAACAGAUUUAUAACAUUCCAGCUCACUUGGGGUUCUAGUUCACCUUUGUGCUCCAGAAAGGAGAACUGCAUAGCUGUGGAGAAUUGCUGGGAGCUAGCUAAAUGGUCUUUGGCUUCCUAUAUUCCAUAGAAUUAGUUAACUUGUUUCAUUAUGAUAAAAUACCAAAUAGAAGCAAUUUACAGGAAGAAGGAUUGAUUCCAGCUCACAGUUAUAAAGAGAGUCCAUCCACUGUGGUGAAGAAAUCAUGAUAGUUAGAUAUCUCCAUCUGGGCAUUAGGAGGUUGGGGCAUGCUUGUUCACAUCUUGAUGGAUCAAGAAGCAGAGGAAAUGGAACCACAAGUGAUACUGGGGCAUGACUGUUAAAGGCACACCCUGUGUGCCCCACUCUGUUAGCCAGUCCCUGUAACAUCCCCAGGUUAACCCCCCCCAAAAUUUGGUGACAAGGUGUUAAAAUAUGAACCAAGCUCCAGGAGCAUUUUGAGUCCAAGUCUUACUAUCCUGCUCCAGCCUCCACAGGCUCAUACAGGAAUAUGAAUAAAAAUCAGCUUCAAGAGACAAAAUAGUUUUGACAGCCCCAACACUUCAAAGUCCAAAGUUCAAAAUCUCUUUGAUACUCAAAGAAAACUCAACAAAAUAGUGAGUUACAUCCUCUCAAUGUACAAUGGCAUAGAAUAAACAUUCUCAUCAAAGAGAGAAACAGGAGGAUAGCAAAGAAAAAGGACUAAAGCAAGACCAAAAAGUUAGCAUGGUACACAGUCAACCCUGUAACUCCAUGAGUAGCAUAGUGUAAUGUGCACUCUAGUGGGCUUGGAACCCUAUCCCUAUCGCUCUGCCACCUAGAGCACACAGAGACUCCCUCUUAGGCUCAUUUCAUUCAGUGCUUGAAGCUUUUCUUAGAAAAUACCCUCACAUUCCUAGAAUCUCUUACUUAGGCUACCCUAUUCAAGCAAGGGGUUUCAGCACUCUCCUUUCAAAUUAAGGUCCUUCAAGUGUUUUUUUUCAGUACUAUUAUUGGAGCAUUCAGUGGUAGGGUCUUUCCCAUAAGCCAUUUUUUCUUAUGUUCUAGUGCAAAAAGCUUAUUUUUUUCGCUAAUGGUUUGUCCACACCCACUUUGCCCACAAUUUUAAGUAUAUUCAUGCUCCUUCCCAUAUCAAAUUCCAUGUUUUUUAUAUCUCUAUGCUAUGUGGUUUUUAUUCUGGAUACGCAGUGUAAAUCUGACUAAAAGCAGCAAGAAACAACCAUGCCACUUCUUGGCUACUUUGCUUUCUUGAAAUUUCUUCUACAAAUAAAUUAGUCCAUUAUUUUAAAAAUCAUCCUCAUUUGGAUUUUCAGUACAGGACCAAAAUACAUCCAGAUUAUUUGGCAAAACGUAACAUAAAUGGCUCUAGUCAAUUCCAACCGAGUCUUUGUUUCUCUGAGAAACCACAUGAGCACAAUCUUUGCUAUCUGCAUUUCCACUAAAUCUCACCAUAAAAUCCCAUUGCUAUCUUCUUUUUUUUUUUUUUUUUUUUUUUGGGUUUUCGAGACAGGGUUUCUCUGUAUAGCCCUGGCUGUCCUGGAACUCACUUUGUAGACCAGGCUGGCCUCGAACUCAGAAAUCCGCCUGCCUCUGCCUCCCAAGUGCUGGGAUUAAAGGCGUGCGCCACCACGCCCAGCUACCAUUGCUAUCUUCUUAAAGCACCCACUAACCUGACACUUCAAACUCUUCCACAAUCUGGUUCUGAAGGCCACAACCAUAUAGCCAGGCACACCACAACACACACCACUGCAACCCCACUUUUUGGUAUCAAUUUUCUGUAUGAGUUACUUUAUUCCAUGCUCCACAAAAUAUAGAACAAAAGCACCUUAAGGAAGGAGGGAUUUACACUGGCUCACUGGGUAUCAGUUCACCAUGGGAGUGAAGACAUAGCAGGUUUACAUUGGCUCACAGUUUCAGGGGUAUCAGCUCACUAUGACAGUGAAGACACAGCCGCUUCAUUUGUGGUUGUGGAAACUUGCAGCAUGGCUAGUUCCUGGUGGAAGGAAACAUAAAGAACAGAAUUGCAAAUAGGGCUGGGCUACAGCCCUCAAAUGCUCACAACCAGUGACCUACCGUAGCCAACCCAUCCUUGCAAUCUUCCAAAAUAACACCACCAGUCAAGCCUCAGGUGUUUAAACACAUAGGCCUGCAGAUACACUUCAGAUCCAAACCAUCAUAUGCAUCUUCAUCCAGCUUUGAUUUGAAAUCCUCUGUCCAAAAAGAUGCUAUUACACUGCUCUCCUAAACCUGUAAAACUGACCAUAUGACUCUAUUGGGCCAGAAACUAGUGUCAGGAACACCUUUUACCCUCCAUGGUAAAGAUGAGCUAGGAAGACUCCUAUCCACUUCUCUUAGCACAGCAGGGGCCUCAAUGAUGACCUCAACCCUCCAUGUCCCAUCAAGAAGAAACUGAGAGGCAAGAGACACAGAGAUGUGGCCAACUUUUAACCCCACAGAGUCAGAGACAAACAUGGAUUCCUCUGGCCUCUCAUAACCUCCCAGGAUGGAUUAAUGAGAACCUUUAGUCUUGGAAGCCUUGUUAAUUAAGGGUCAGAGAGUCUAUUCAUAACACUUCUUUAUAGUAUUCACCUUAGGCAUUUACUCUGCAAGCAUUACCUUAGCCGUAUUCUAGAAAGCAUGUCUGCUAAAAUACACAUGCAUGAAUCAGAUUUUCUAGUAGCUACGCUGAGCAAAAGGAAACAGAUAAACAUCAAAUUUUAUAUUUAAUUGAAGUAUAUACUUUCAAAAUAGUACCAUUUUCUUAAAUUACUCUUUAUUUAUUGAUAAUGUCAGAGAGCAUGGGUGCACAUACACUAUGGAGCUCAAGUGAAUAUCAGAGGAUAAUUCUAUGAAGUCUAUUCUCUCCUUCUCUUUCUGUAGAUUACAAGGAUUAAACUCAGGUUGUCAGGCUUAUGUGGCAAGAGUUUAGGUUUUUGUUUGUUUAGUUUUGUUUUUGUUUUAACCUCCUGACCAAAUAGUGCUAUUUUAACUUUUAAACAUAUAAAAAUAUGAGAUGUUUUACAUUACCUUUAAGGUCUGGUAUAUACUUUGUAGUUUCAGCACACCUCAUUUCUGACUGGCCACAUUCCAAUGCUCAAUAGUCACAUAUGGCAAGCAAGCACAAGCUCUAAAAUACUUGCAGAAACACACACAUAGUUUCGUUUGUUUGUUUGUUUGUUUGUUUUUGUAAAGCAUUCAAUGGAGACGAACAUUCAAUUAUAAAUCCCAGCCACAGCUAAGAAUGCCUUUUUCCUGUGUCCUUCCCAGGCCUAUGAAUGGGGUCUUUUCCCAAUUCCCAGUGUGUUUCUAAAAUAAAUACCCAAAUAUAUAUAUAUAUAUACCCUGACUGUCCUGAAACUCACUCUGUAGACCAGGCUGGCCUAGAACUCAGAAAUCCACCUGCCUCUGCUUUCCAAGUGCUGGGAUUAAAGGUGUGUGCCACCACUGCCUGGUUCCCAAGUAUAUUUUAAUACAGUGGUUUUCAUCCUUCCAAUUGCUGUGCCCCUUAAAUGUAGUUCCUCACAUUACAGUGAUCCACAACUAUAAAAUUAUUUUCAUUGUUACUUCAUAACUGUAGUUUUGCUACUGUUAUGAAUAGUGAUAUAAAUAUCUGCUAAGCAGGAUAUCUGAUGUGCAACCCCCACAAAGAAAACAGAUAACCCCACAGGUUGAGGAGCAUUGUUUUAAUAGGUUAUUAAGUAAAACUUUUGCUCUUUCAAUUAUCUUAGCUGUAUCCUUUACUUGGUUUUAAAUAUUUAUUUUACUUUUAAUUGUAUGUUAUGUAUGUAUGUGUGGGGUUGUGGGUAUGUGCAUAUUAAUGCAGGACCAGAUGUGGGUGUUGAGAACCAAACUGGGUCCUCUGAAAAAGAAGUAUAGGCUUUAAAUAACUGUACUCACUCCAACUUCAUCCUUUGCCUGUUUUAAAAACUGGAGUCUAUUUGACUUUGUUCUCACUGAGUCUAUUAAAUAUGUUAGGUCUUUGUUAGAGAUAAAGUCUGAUGCCUGUG